AGUGAACGCUGGCGGUAGGCCUAACACAUGCAAGUCGAACGGCAGCACAGGAAAGCUUGCUCUCUGGGUGGCGAGUGGCGGACGGGUGAGGAAUACAUCGGAGUCUACUCUGUCGUGGGGGAUAACGUAGGGAAACUUACGCUAAUACCGCAUACGACCUACGGGUGAAAGCAGGGGACCUUCGGGCCUUGCGCGAUUGAAUGAGCCGAUGUCGGAUUAGCUAGUUGGCGGGGUAAAGGCCCACCAAGGCGACGAUCCGUAGCUGGUCUGAGAGGAUGAUCAGCCACACUGGAACUGAGACACGGUCCAGACUCCUACGGGAGGCAGCAGUGGGGAAUAUUGGACAAUGGGCGCAAGCCUGAUCCAGCCAUACCGCGUGGGUGAAGAAGGCCUUCGGGUUGUAAAGCCCUUUUGUUGGGAAAGAAAUCCAGCUGGCUAAUACCCGGUUGGGAUGACGGUACCCAAAGAAUAAGCACCGGCUAACUUCGUGCCAGCAGCCGCAGUAA
rnacentral:rRNA from 1 species